rnacentral:lncRNA from 1 species
CUCCGCCCGGCAGCCACCCCAUCUGGGAAGGAUCACUGGAUACUGCAAGGCAAUAUAGAUGGUAGACGGGCAAGAGUGGAAGCAUCUCUCCAAUUUGAAGAAGAUGGCAAAACGUUGCCCUUGCAUAACAUCAGAAGAUCCCUAAUGUCUGCCUUGAAGAGCUCUCGACAAUAGCAGCAAUGAACUACAGAAAAUGUUACAAUGUCAUUGCUACAUGAAGAGAAGAUCAAGAGAAUUCAGCCAGAAGACUGUAGAAACAAAGUCAUGAAUCAUGCUGUCCUUGGAUAACCCGGUGUCACCCAGAAUCUCUGUAUCCCUUGGAAAUGUAGACUUUCUCCAACCGCCUCUCCCUCCUUGGUGGCUUCUCUGCCUGGACAGACUUGUCUUUGUAUUAGUAGUGUCACUUUACCUCCUACUACUCAGGAACAGACCAGCCAGUCCCAUGACAAAUUUCCACAAAAUGCCAUGUAUCUUGUAAAUUUAAUGAAUCACUUUGGGAAAAGGUGGGACACAGAGAGCUUAAUGUAAAAAAACCCAUUUUUUUGGUCAGAGUGCUGAAAAAAAUAGAACUUCUUUAACAGGUUCUGAGUAGAAACAUAGCUCAAUGAAGAAAUAAAAGCACCUACUGUUUGAAA